UACGGAGGGGGCUAGCGUUGUUCGGAAUUACUGGGCGUAAAGCGCACGUAGGCGGCUUUGCAAGUUAGAGGUGAAAGCCCGGAGCUUAACUCCGGAAUUGCCUUUAAAACUGCAUCGCUAGAAUUGUGGAGAGGUGAGUGGAAUUCCGAGUGUAGAGGUGAAAUUCGUAGAUAUUCGGAAGAACACCAGUGGCGAAGGCGACUCACUGGACACAUAUUGACGCUGAGGUGCGAAAGCGUGGGGAGCAAUCAGG
rnacentral:rRNA from 1 species